GACUACAGGGGUAUCUAAGCCUGUUUGCUACCCACGCUUUCGUGCCUCAGCGUCAAUGUCGGACCAGUGAGCCGCCUUCGCCACCGGUGUUCUUCCCAAUAUCUACGAAUUUCACCUCUACACUGGGAAUUCCACUCACCUCUUCCGAAUUCUAGCCUGACAGUCUCAAACGCAGUUCCUGGGUUAAGCCCAGGGCUUUCACAUCUGACUUGUCAAACCGCCUACGCACCCUUUACGCCCAGUAAUUCCGAACAACGCUAGCUCCCUUCGUAUUACCGCGGCUGCUGGCACGAAGUUAGCCGGAGCUUAUUCUGUAGGUACCGUCAUCAUCGUCCCUACCAAAAGAACUUUACAACCCGAAGGCCUUCAUCACUCACGCGGCAUGGCUGGAUCAGGGUUUCCCCCAUUGUCCAAUAUUCCCCACUGCAGCCGCCCGUAGG
rnacentral:rRNA from 1 species